rnacentral:rRNA from 1 species
AGCGGAGGAAAAGAAACCAACAGGGAUUGCCUCAGUAACGGCGAGUGAAGCGGCAAGAGCUCAACUUUGGAAUCGCUCCGGCGAGUUGUAGUCUGGAGGUGGCCACCACGAGGUGUUCUAGCAGCAGGCAAGUCCUUUGGAACAAGGCGCCAGCGAGGGUGACAGCCCCGUACCUGCUUUUGCUAGUGCUUCCUGUGGCCCACCGACGAGUCGAGUUGUUUGGGAAUGCAGCUCUAAGUGGGUGGUAAAUUCCAUCUAAGGCUAAAUAUUGGCGAGAGACCGAUAGCGAACAAGUACAGUGAUGGAAAGAUGAAAAGCACUUUGAAAAGAGAGUGAAACAGUACGUGAAAUUGUUGAAAGGGAAGGGCUUGCACCCAGACACGGUUUCGGCCGGGCCAGCAUCAAGUAGAACGGGGUUAAAAGACUUGGGGAAUGUAGCUACUUCGGUAGUGUUAUAGCCCUUGGUGAUGACCCCUGUUUUGCUUGAGGACAGCGGUCUCUAGGAUGCUGGCGCAAUGGUUGCAAGCCACCCGUCUUGAA